GACGAACGCUGGCGGCGUGCUUAACACAUGCAAGUCGAACGGAAAGGCCCUGCUUUUGUUGGUUGCUCGUUUGGCGAAGAGGGGAGUAACACGUGUGUAACCUCCCCUUGACUUUGGGAUAACUUCUGGGAACUGGGGCUAAUACCCCAUAUGAGCUCCUGCUGCAUGGUGUGGGUUGGUAAGAUUCGGCGGUUCGGGCUGGAUUCGAGGCUUCUCAGCUUGUUGGGGGGGUAGGGGCUGUCCACGGCUAUGACGGCUAGCCUGCCUGGGAGGGUGAACGGCCACAUUGGGACUGCGGUACGGCCCAGUCUGCUACGGGACGCAGCAGGGGGGAGCCUGGCACAAUGGGCGGAAGCCUGUUGCAGCAACGCCGCGUUCGGGAUGACGGCCUUCGGGUUGUAAACCGCUUUGGCCGGAGCCGAAGCGUGAGUGACGGUAAUGGGUAAAGAAGCACCGGCUAACUACGUG
rnacentral:rRNA from 1 species